AUCACAAGGUCAGGAGAUCGAGACCAUCCUGGCUAACACGAGUCUCUUCACCCCUAGUAUCAGUAUACAGGGGACAUUCAGUUGUUGACUGCCUGAUGAAUGUUUGCCAGUAAUUAGAACUGAGAGACACUCAAAGAUUCUGGACUGUCUUCUGAGCAGAGAAUAAAAAGUAGCUAUCAUCUGCCCACCACAGACAUGAAAAAACAAGAAAGACAGUUUGCAGAGAGGAGAGAAUGAAACAGGACUGUAGAGAGAAGCAGAGACAAGAAAUGGAUCUUCCCAUCUCGUCAUGAGCUUCCACUUCCAGGGAAUUGCCUCUCUCCCACUGUGUGAUGUCAUUGUGGGAUGGUCAAUACACAUGCCUAUCCUCUCUCCAGGUAAUUCAAGGGGGUUUCUGGAGGUCCCUUUCAUCAGGUCAUUCUUCUCACUGCCCUGUUUCAGUGGGAGGUAAGUUAGAAUUUCUUAGACCUUGGUCCUUAAUACUCUCCAUUUCU
rnacentral:lncRNA from 1 species